UACGUAGGGUGCGAGCGUUGUCCGGAAUUAUUGGGCGUAAAGAGCUCGUAGGCGGUUUGUCGCGUCUGCUGUGAAAUCCCGAGGCUCAACCUCGGGUCUGCAGUGGUACGGGCAGGCUAGAGUGCGGUAGGGAGAAUGGAACUCCUGGUGUAGCGGUGGAAUGCGCAGAUAUCAGGAAGAACACCGAUGGCGAAGGCAGUUCUCUGGCCGUAACUGACGCUGAGGAGCGAAAGCGUGGGAGCGAACAGG
rnacentral:rRNA from 1 species